GAGGUUAUAGCUUAAGUGGUAGAGCACAUGCUUAGUUAGCAUGCACAAGUUCCUGGGUUCAAUCCCCAGUACCUUCU
rnacentral:tRNA from 1 species